CAUUGAAACACCGGUUCUCGUACGAUCAUCGAAGUUAAACAACGUCGAGCCUGAUCAGUACUUAGAUGGGUGACCGCUUGGGACUACCAGGUACUGUAAG